ensembl:lncRNA
UUCAUUGGUCAUAUAAGCUGUUUUGGGAGCUAUAUUUUGCUAGUCUUGCAUAGAGUAAUAGUAUCUGUGGGUCUGGAUGUGCGUUUGCCAUUUGAGCAGAAGACUAACAGCAAACAAGUUAUGUAUCAGUCUGAGAGUUUUUUGAACUCACCCUUUGUACAGACCUAGCUUGCUGGUCUUGCUGGUGCUAAUAGAAGUCUUUUCUGAUAGGAGCUGCCAUUGCAAUGGUCUCCAGCAGGCAGUGUCACCCGGUCACACAGAGGAACUCUUGGAGAAGGAGCACUGCGAGACGCGAACCUCUCCCAAUUUAUGAUCUGCUCUUACGUUAACUAACGGAGAAACGAGUGGGAAGUCUAUGACUUAAUGACAAAACAGAACAGUGUUUUACACCUGUUUAAAGACGGAAGAUCAGUGGUGGGCCUCAGUUACAGAUGGCUCAGUGUUACCUGGAGAAUCCUCCUCACACUGGAACUUCAUAGAACGAGGAGCAUAUGGACACAUACCAAAAGACUGUUUUCGUACAAAUUCCACUGGAACAGAAGACAACUGUGUUUCCUAAGGCAGACAUGGACCGCAGUAUAUAGAGAUUAGAUUUUGCUCUUUCUAAUGCCCGUAAUCAGAAUGCUGCUCCUCGCUCCAGGACAGGUCCCUUACUGAAUAUGCAUAUUUUAUUAAAGCCAACUCCCACAG